GAGAACUUGAUGAAGAAGAAUCGUGAAAUAGAUGCUGAGGGAUCUCUUAAAGAUCUGAUUCAGUCUCUAAAGAGGAGGAAGAAGGUUCAGAGAGCUCAACUAGAUGGACACAACAAAUAUAGUAACAAGAUAGUUAAAGCAUUUCACAUGUUAUUUUAAGCCCUUAAUUAUGCGUACGUAGCUGUUUCCUAAUAUACCCUUAAUAACAAUCUCUAAUACAUAUUAACACCACAAAUAAUAAGAAAACAAAGAAACCUCUUUUUUCUCUAAUCCAAAUCAAAGAAACUAAAAAAGGGUUCCAAAGUACCUGAAAUUUGUUCGCAUGAAUGAUCUUCAAUCCAAUCGUUGAAUGUAAAAUCGCGGUCCUGGCCAUCGACAGAUCCCUGUUUCAGGUAUAGCCAAAGCUAAACAUUGUUAUCAUUUUCGAAUUCAAACAUGAAUGUUUUAAUGAAAUUUGCAGGAAAGAUUGGCUUUAAAAGAUUCUUCAUACGAUUUUGUUUUGAUAAGAUACAUUUUUUUUUGUGAGAGAUUUUUGUGUUUUGAUACAACAGAACAAUAAUGGAGAUUUUCAAAAAGGCUGAAACCGUGCGUUUACGUAGCUACCACGACAAGUACCUUUUAGCAGAGGAGGACGAAGAUUCCGUGAGCCAGGACAGAGAUGGGCGGUCUAUGAACGCAAGAUGGACGGUGGAGAUUGUAGAAGUGACAAACGUGA
rnacentral:lncRNA from 1 species